GGCGUGUUCGUCUAUCGGUCAGGACGCCGCCCUUUCAAGGCGGUAAGGUGGGUUCGAUUCCCACACACGCUGCCA
rnacentral:tRNA from 1 species